rnacentral:misc_RNA from 1 species
GAUGAAGAACGUAGCGAAAUGCGAUAAGUAAUGCGAAUUGCAGAAUUCAGUGAGUCAUCGAAUCUUUGAACGCACAUUGCGCCCUGUGGUAUUCCGCAGGGCAUGCCUGUUCGAGCGUCAUUUCAACCCUCAAGCUCUGCUUGGUGUUGGGCCCUGCCCGCUGCGGCCGGCCCUAAAGACAGUGGCGGUGCCGCCUGGCCCUGAGUGUAGUACAUCUCUCGCUCCAGUGCCCGGUGGUAGCCUGCCAGAACCCCAACUCUCGUGGUUGACCUCGGAUCAGGUAGGGAUACCCGCUGAACUUAAGCAUAUCAAUAAGCGGAGGA